rnacentral:SRP_RNA from 1 species
CCCAGUGGGGGCAAGAAGGUGGCUGGCAACGAAAAGGCCGCAGCGAUCAGGAAGGCCAUCCUCGCUGGCGCCCGGCCCAAGUGAGGAGGAUCUACACGUAGAAAGCCGGCUUGUGCCGCGUGCCCGGCAU